rnacentral:piRNA from 1 species
UUCUUUGAUACGAAGGCACUGUCUGAGA